GCUUAAUUUGACUCAACACGGGAAAACUCACCAGGCCCGGACACCGGAGGGAUUGACAGAUUGAGAGCUCUUUCUUGAUUCGGUGGGUGGUGGUGCAUGGCCGUUCUUAGUUGGUGGAGCGAUUUGUCUGGUUAAUUCCGAUAACGAACGAGACUCUUUCCUGCUAACUAGUUGACAGUGUACCGAGUGAUGAACAUGAUAGGGCUAUACCACUCCUAGGACAUGGUAAUGAGAACAAUACGCCACUAGAGAUCUCAAGAGCA
rfam:Asian citrus Psyllid, Diaphorina citri - Florida Strain, whole genome shotgun sequence.